ensembl:snRNA U6 U6 spliceosomal RNA
GUGCUUGCUUCAGCGGCACAUAUACUAAAAUUGGAACAAUACAGAGACAAGCAUGGCCCCUGCACAAGGAUGACACACAAAUUCGUGAAGCGUUCCAUAUUUUA